GGCUGAGUGGCGAUGUGGUUAGCGCGUAUGUUUCGCACUGGUGAGUCUAGGGUUCGAUUCCCUUCUGAAUCC